GGAGGGUGCGAGCGUUGUUCGGAAUUACUGGGCGUAAAGCGCGUGUAGGCAGCCUUCUAAGUCUGGUGUGAAAGCCCGGGGCUCAACUCCGGAAGUGCAUUGGAUACUGGGAGGCUGGAGUACCGGAGAGGAGGGUGGAAUUCCUGGUGUAGCGGUGAAAUGCGUAGAUAUCAGGAGGAACACCGGUGGCGAAGGUGGCCCUCUGGACGGAUACUGACGCUGAGACGCGAAAGCGUGGGGAGCAAACAGGAUUAGAUACCCUGGUAGUCCACGCCGUAAACGAUGGGCACUAGGUGUUCGGGGUAUUGACCCCCUGAGUGCCGCAGCUAACGCAUUAAGUGCCCCGCCUGGGGAAUACGGCCGCAAGGUUA
rnacentral:rRNA from 1 species